ACUCAAAGGAAUUGACGGGGGCCCGCACAAGCAGCGGAGCGUGUGGUUCAAUUCGAUGCGACACGAAGAACCUUACCAGGGUUUGACAUGCAUGUGGUACCAAAGGGAAACCGGCGGGACCCGCAAGGGAGCAUGCACAGGUGAUGCAUGGCUGUCGUCAGCUCGUGCCGUGAGGUGUUGGGUUAAGUCCCGCAACGAGCGCAACCCUUGUCGCUAGUUACAUGUGUCUAGCGAAACUGCCGGAUUAAUUCCGGAGGAAGGCGGGGAUGACGUCAAGUCAGCAUGUCCUUUAUAUCCUGGGCUACACACACGCUACAAUGGGCGUAACAAUGCGUUGCCAACCCGCGAGGGGGAGCUAAUCGCACAAAUACGUCCUCAGUUCAGAUCGCAGGCUGCAACCCGCCUGCGUGAAGUCGGAGUUGCUAGUAAACGCGCGUCAGCCAAAGUGCGUUGAAUACGUUCCCGGGCCUUGUACACACCGCCCGU
rnacentral:rRNA from 1 species